GAUGAACGCUGGCGGCGUGCCUAAUACAUGCAAGUCGAGCGAACAGACGAGGAGCUUGCUCCUCUGACGUUAGCGGCGGACGGGUGAGUAACACGUGGAUAACCUACCUAUAAGACUGGGAUAACUUCGGGAAACCGGAGCUAAUACCGGAUAAUAUAUUGAACCGCAUGGUUCAAUAGUGAAAGACGGUUUUGCUGUCACUUAUAGAUGGAUCCGCGCCGCAUUAGCUAGUUGGUAAGGUAACGGCUUACCAAGGCAACGAUGCGUAGCCGACCUGAGAGGGUGAUCGGCCACACUGGAACUGAGACACGGUCCAGACUCCUACGGGAGGCAGCAGUAGGGAAUCUUCCGCAAUGGGCGAAAGCCUGAUGCAGCAACGCCGCGUGAGUGAUGAAGGUCUUCGGAUCGUAAAGCCCUGUUAUUAGGGAAGAACAAAUGUGGAAGUAACCACGCAUGUCUUGACGGUACCUAAUCAGAAAGCCACGGCUAACUACGUG
rnacentral:rRNA from 1 species